rnacentral:rRNA from 1 species
AACGAACGCUGGCGGCGUGGAUAAGACAUGCAAGUCGAACGCUCAUUUGCCUGCAGCAAUGUGGGUGAGUGGGAGUGGCGCAAGGGUGCGUAACACGUGGGUAAUUUGCCGCGAAGUUGGGGAUAACUCGCUGAAAGGCGAGCUAAUACCGGAUGUGGUAGGCUGGUGGCAUCAUUGGCUUGACCAAAGUUGGGGACCCGCAAGGGCCUGACGCUUCGCGAUAAGCCCGCGGCCUAUCAGCUAGUUGGUGAGGUAACGGCUCACCAAGGCUAAGACGGGUAGCUGGUCUGAGAGGACGACCAGCCACACUGGAACUGAGAGACGGUCCAGACACCCACGGGUGGCAGCAGUCGAGAAUUUUUCACAAUGGGCGCAAGCCUGAUGGAGCGACGCCGCGUGGGGAUGAAGGGCUUCGGAUUGUAAACCACUGUCGGGAGGGACGAAUACGCCGCAAGGCGGGUGACGGUACCUCCAAAGGAAGCACCGGCUAACUCCGU